UGGUGCACGAGUGUUAUUGUUCAGAUCCAUAACAGUUUACUCCUAGCACACUGUUCCUCUCAACAUUGUGACACAUGACUCCUUGCUUCUCUUUCCUUAAUCUUUUCCUUCUCUAUCAAAUAAUAUUUAUGUACUUAAUGAUUUCAAUUCUCCAUCAUCUCUCACCUGAUCACCCAAAAAAUUUCCCAGUAAUAAUAUUACAAGGGAUAAGAUCAUUGUUGAAGAUGGAGGUGAUCAGUGUAACCAAAAAAAAAAAAAAUAAAAUAAAAUAAAUAAAUAAAGUAUAGAAGAACAGAGUGAGACAAGUCAGCAAGACUUUGUACACAGCAGCAAUAUUGAUGUGAAAUAAGGUUCCUGUUCCUUUGUUUCUGAGCCACAAAGGUACAGGCCCCUCAUCACAUGACCUGUAUAAGAGGAGGCCUUCGUAAGUGUAUAAGAGGAAGCCUCCCAGGUGUGGCUGAGACAGGGAAGGGUAGCAUCAUGUACACCAAUAAAACAAAAGAUCAGUGAGUGGAGGGAUUUAUUUUGAUAAUAAUAUGCUUCACCACUGAAUGCAGAGAAAAAUAUCAUCUACAACUAACUCUAUCCUGCAGUCUACUCAUUUACUGGUGUGUUAUUUCACCCUCCACCAAGGUUUGACUACACGACACUCACGAUCGCCAGCCAGUGUCCUCCUUGACCGAGACUGGAGCUCACUAGUGACAAACCUCUGGGCAUGGCUGAAGCCUCCCACCCACACACACACAGGAGGCAGAACACAACCCAGUACCCAUGCACUGCUGGCUGAACACGGGCAAGAAUAUAUGGAGACUGACAAUCCAACUCCACUUCAUCCGGGAAUUGAACCCAGGACCUCUUGGGUGUGAGGCAAGUGUGCUUACCACUACAUCAUGGAGUGUGUGUGUGUGUGUGUGUGUGUGUGUGUGUAUUUACCUAGUUGUGACAUACGGGAAAAGAGCUACGCUCACGGUCCCGUCUCCAUAUCCGCUCUUGUCCAACUUUUCCUUAAAAUCAUUAAUGUUUCUUGCACAAACCACCUCCUCCUCCAGCCUAUUCCACAGCUCAAUGCUUCUGUUUGGGAAGCUAAACUUUUUCACAUCUCGCCUACACGUGGUCCCCCUCAACUUCUUUCUAUGUCCUCUCGUUUCUCUCUCGUUCCACACAUACAGGUCCUCUGUCCAAAUGAUCCACUCCGCUCGCCACCCUGUACACCGCUAUCAGGUCUCCUCUUUCUCUUUUUCUCUCCAGGGUUGUGAGCCCCGUGCUAUUGAGUCUCUCUUCAUAAGUCCGAUAUCUAAGUUCCGGUACCAUCUUAGUUGCCACUCUGCACUCUUUCCAGCUUUCUUAUGUUCUCCUUUUCGUGAGGAGACCAGACCACUGCUGCAUACUCCAACCUUGGCCUUAUCAUUGUAACUAUUAUUUUCAUUAUCUCCUCGUCCAAAUACACAAAUGCCGUCCUUAUGUUCCUCAGUAAAUUCAUAGUUUGUCCCGUUAUCCUGUUGAUGUGUUUGUCCGGCGACAUGUUCUCUGAAACUGUGUGUGUGUGUGUGUGUGUGUGUGUGUGUGUGUGUGUGUACUACAUAAUUCACUAUUUCUUUCUUACUUUAUUGAGAGACAUGGAGUUAUUCAGACCACAUAGAGCUACUUCUCCAAUAGCUAAGAAUAAAUAAACAUGAUUAUUAUUCCCAAAAGACAGAUGGAAAUACCUAUACCAUCAACAAUGCCCUAUGCACAGGUCAGUCUGGGCUCAGCUUAUGCUACUCUUUCAGGCCAAAUGAAUUACCCACAUCAUAUAAUCACUAGCUUUGUGUUGUUAUGAAAGCACUAACAGACUAAAAACUAUUAGAAUCUUUUUUCCCUUCAUACCUCUUGUGGUAAUGACAGCACUCUUACUAAAACAGGCUCACUAUACCCCUAUCAGCACCUCUGUUCAAACAAUGCUCACCCUACGGCAGCAGCCUCGUUCCUUUGCCUGUGACCCAAUGAAAGGAUUAAAUUUAUGGCAAGGGAAGGUGGGUGGUGUUGAGAUCAAAGGAGCUGCCCUAUGUAGGCUGCCUGGAGGUCCCUCAUGUACUUCUCUUCUUAUUCAUUUUGUAACAGUAUGAAGUGAGCAGCUGCAUCAUUCACUUUGUUAAUCAUCAAUCCAGUAUUCUUAAUCCCCUGUGGGUAAAGUAUGUCAAGAGUGUGUGUCACCAGUGCCAGCAGACAUCACUGAGGCACUCAUGCAAGGCUAGUGCCAUCUGUUGGGCAUGGUUUUUGACAGACGUUAUGACACAGGGCAUAAUAGCUUGUCCCCCCAGCAAGAAUGUGAAGAGUGUGGUGAAGACAAUGAAUAUGUUCUGAGAGCUACACUGAUAGCAAGGCCUUUAAAUAUAUAAAUAGGCUAUAUGAGUCUAUUUUAGCUAUUCUUGUGUAGUUAUUUCUUUCCUUUACUGGGACUAAGAGUUCCUAUGAAGCAGGGGAGUGGAAGGCAGGGGUGGCAGAGCAAGGCCAAGGCUCCACUCACUAUGCUGACUGCAAGGCAUUUCAAUACAACAAUAAGAUAACAUAACAAUGAUAACAGUAACACUCUUGAAAAUGCUCCAUAAGUACAGGAAAAGUCUCUUAAUCCAAUUGUUGCAGGUUAAAAUUCCCCAAAGGCUGAAUUUUAAAGGCAGGGGAUUACAAUACAAAAUAAUACAACCAUCGACAUUCUCUAACCCUGACACAGUGAGAGAUUUGGGUUUGUCAUUUUCCUUGUACUAUCCAGGCUGAUAUGCUCUACACUCCCUAAUUUUCCAGGAGGUUCACCUAUUAAUUUCAAGAAGACUAUUAACCCGUCUGCUGCGAUUGGCAUGGAUUUGACCUUCACUGGUAGCCUGGUAACAUAUAGUCCCAGGUCUUUCUCUGCCUCUGUGGUGGAUAGUGGAGUGUUUCCCAUGUGGUAUUGGUGUGCUGGAUAUCCCUUCACUGGUAGCCUGGUAACAUAUAGUCCCAGGUCUUUCUCUGCCUCUGUGGUGGAUAGUGGAGUGUUUCCCAUGUGGUAUUGGUGUGCUGGAUAUCCCUUCACUGGUAGCCUGGUAACAUACACUCCCAGGUCUUUCUCUGCCUCUGUGGUGGAUAGUGGAGUGUUUCCCAUGUGGUAUUGGUGUGCUGGAUAUCCCCUCCCAAGAUGCAGGACUUUAUAUUUUUCUUCAAUGAAUUGUAGCAGACUAUUUUUGUUUCAUUCCUGUAGCUUGGUGAAGUCUUCUUGUAGGAAAUCCGCAAUCAAAGAAUUAAGGUUAUACGAAUACAAAUGGACAGCUUAGUGUUCAAUUUCAUCCUUCUGCAUUUUGAAAGAGCCAGUCUCCUUGUAUUAUCCAGCCAGAUUUGCUCUAUAUUCCCUCUUUAUUUACUAUUAAGUUCAAGAAAACUGUUAAGGUUAUAAGUAUACAGAAAGACAUAUCAAGUCCCAUCCUUUUGUAUUUUGAAAGAGACGCUUGGUUGCUUUGGUUUCGUCACAGCAGGGGAAAGAAUACAGUAUUUUCGCCUUUAAUCACAUGGAUGCAGAUUUACUACAAGACCUCACCAAACUACAGGAAUGGAACAAAAAGUGGCUGCUACAAUUCAAUGAAGAAAAAUGUAAAGUCAUGCACCUUGGGAGGGGAAAUCCGGCAUACCAAUACCACAUGCGAGUGCUAAUCACAGCAGACAGGUUAAGGACCAAGGAUUGACAGCUGCUAUUCAGAUUAAAGGACUUUCACCGCACGUUCAUGUCAGCACACAUAAUAAUCGUCCUGCCUCAGCUCACAAACAGGGCACGAGUUCUUUUCUUAAAUAGUACAACAAUUUUUAACAUUAGUGAGUUUAUUUUUGGUAAUUAGUGUGUGAGGCUCAGUAAUAUCCUCCAUGUAGCCAUUACCAUCCUGCUAGAAGAGUUACUGCACGUCCUUAGCUAAAUGUAACAACAGUUUGAUUUUUUGAAGGUCAAGUCUGAAGAGUGGUUGAUUCUAAUAUGAAUACCACUUCCCAGGGGCAUAAAUAAAGUUCAUUCCUCAAUUUUCUAAAAGUCAAGUUAAGGGGAAUGACUCGUAUGAAUACUACUUUCCAGGGGCAUAAAGGUCAUUCCUCAAGUCUCUAAAGGUCAAGUUAAGGGAGACAACCUUAUCUUAUGUGAAUACUACUUUGCUGGGGCAUAAAUAAAGUUCAUUCCUCAACUUUCUAAAGGUCAAGUUAAGGGGAAUGACUCUUAGGUGAAUACUACUUUCCCAGGGCAUAAAUUAAGUUCAUUCCUCAUUUUUCUAAAAAUCAAGAACUUGGAUAUCUGGGAAUAGUCUACUUAAAAAUCAGAUCAUGGAGGAAAGGGAUCAGAAGGCAGACCAUAGAGUUAACCAAGAGACUCAUGAGAGGUGGAAGUGUAAGAAUGGAAGUAAAGAA